GGCCUAAUGGUCUAGUAGUAUGAUUCUCGCUUUGGGUUACUGAAUACAUUGCGGUGCAACUUUGCGAGAGGUCCUGGGUUCAAUUCCCAGUUGGGCCC